CCUACGGGAGGCAGCAGUGGGGAAUAUUGGACAAUGGGCGAAAGCCUGAUCCAGCCAUGCCGCGUGUGUGAAGAAGGUCUUCGGAUUGUAAAGCACUUUAAGUUGGGAGGAAGGGCAGUAACCUAAUACGUUGCGGUCUUGACGUUACCGACAGAAUAAGCACCGGCUAACUCUGUGCCAGCAGCCGCGGUAAUACAGAGGGUGCAAGCGUUAAUCGGAAUUACUGGGCGUAAAGCGCGCGUAGGUGGUUUGUUAAGUUGGAUGUGAAAUCCCCGGGCUCAACCUGGGAACUGCAUUCAAAACUGACAAGCUAGAGUAUGGUAGAGGGUGGUGGAAUUUCCUGUGUAGCGGUGAAAUGCGUAGAUAUAGGAAGGAACACCAGUGGCGAAGGCGACCACCUGGACUGAUACUGACACUGAGGUGCGAAAGCGUGGGGAGCAAAACCGAGGUAUUAGACUACCCGUGGUACGUCCGACGUACCGUAAACGAUGUCAACUAGCCGUUGGGACGUCCGUUGUAGCUCUUAGUGGUCGCGAGCGUACGACAUUAGUUAGUACCGCCGUCGGGUAGGUACGGCCGCGAACGUUAAACGUACGAAGUAGAAGUUAGACGCGUGAGACGUACGACCGACGGACGACGACGAGGGAGGAGG
rnacentral:rRNA from 1 species